rnacentral:rRNA from 1 species
GAACUUGGCAGAGAUGCCUUGGUGCCUUCGGGAACGCUGAGACAGGUGCUGCAUGGCUGUCGUCAGCUCGUGUUGUGAAAUGUUGGUUAAGUCCCGCAACGAGCGCAACCCUUUAUCCUUUGUUGCCAGCGAUUCGGUCGGGAACUCAAAGGAGACUGCCGGUGAUAAACCGGAGGAAGGUGGGGAUGACGUCAAGUCAUCAUGGCCCUUACGAGUAGGGCUACACACGUGCUACAAUGGCGCAUACAAAGAGAAGCGACCUCGCGAGAGCAAGCGGACCUCAUAAAGUGCGUCGUAGUCCGGAUCGGAGUCUGCAACUCGACUCCGUGAAGUCGGAAUCGCUAGUAAUCGUGGAUCAGAAUGCCACGGUGAAUACGUUCCCGGGCCUUGUACACACCGCCCGUCACACCAUGGGAGUGGGUUGCAAAAGAAGUAGGUAGCUUAACCCUCGGGAGGGCGCUUACCACUUUGUGAUUCAUGACUGGGGUGAAGUCGUAACAAGGUAGGCGUAGCGAG